GCUCCAGCCGAGACUCAAGCCCGCACGGUGAGAAAUUAAACUACGAUCCCAGAUGGCUAACCAGAGAGGCGGCGGGUUAUCCCUGCAGCCACCGCGUGGAGCUCCCUGGUGGAGCCAAUCGAAAAUGCAGGAUCUUCGGAAAUUGAAUGGCAUUCCUGUAAGCGCGCAGCCUCAUGAAACUUCAAUGGAGCGGCAACCUGUCUCCGCGUCGAAGUGCACGGGCUCCGGAUCGGCCGCUGCGACACUGCGAGGGCGCUUUGGACGGACAGGUCGGAGGCACUUUGAGUAUUGAUUUAAAGUAUUUCGAAAUCACAGUAAGUUGCUGAAAAAUGAUGCGAUAUUAUACCUUAGUUUUUAGUUUUCGAAAUAAUGACAUGUGCUACGUCAGAAAUGUUAUAGAAUAUGGUUUGAAUAGAGUAUGAGCUGACAAAAUGGACAGAAAACUAAUUUUUUUCAUUGUUAUUUUAAAGAAUGUUCUCCGCUUUUUCCAGAUGUUCACCCAGACCUUUAGAUAUUCUUGUUAUACAUUUAGUCAGCAAUAUUUAAUUUAACAUAAUCUAAAGACCGUUGUUGUUAAAGUGCCUUGCCAUAAGGAAAAUCUAAAAUGUAGCUAUAUUUAUGGCUGUUUAGUACAUGCUCUUCAAUCAUCUAUAAUUUGUAACAAGUUAGCUUUUUUAAAAAUACAGGUAGUGGGAUCAUUUUAAAUUAUCGUAAUCUCUUGUUUUCCUCAAUCUAUAAAUAGAUAUUAUUAAAUAAUAUACUGACCCAAAGAUGUAAAAUUUGGUUUAGGAUAUUAUGUAUUAAUGUCAAAAUAUAUUUGCAAAGGAAUGCCCAAAUAACAUUUAAAUACCAGUUUGUAAUUCU